rnacentral:rRNA from 1 species
UACGAAGAGGGCUAGCGUUGCUCGGAAUCACUGGGCGUAAAGCGCACGUAGGCGGAUUGCUAAGUCAGGGGUGAAAUCCUGGAGCUCAACUCCAGAACUGCCUUUGAUACUGGCGAUCUUGAGUCCGGGAGAGGUGAGUGGAACUGCGAGUGUAGAGGUGAAAUUCGUAGAUAUUCGCAAGAACACCAGUGGCGAAGGCGGCUCACUGGCCCGGUACUGACGCUGAGGUGCGAAAGCGUGGGGAGCAAACAGG